UAUCCAUGGUGUGGACAGUCUCUUUGGUAUUCCCUAAAUCUUUCCCAAGUAUCUAAAAGAUCUUCAUCUUCUUUUUGUUUAAAAUUUCUUAUCUUCUUUCUAAAGAGA
rfam:Eutrema salsugineum unplaced genomic scaffold scaffold_5, whole genome shotgun sequence.